rnacentral:rRNA from 1 species
AUUGAACGCUGGCGGCAGGCCUAACACAUGCAAGUCGAGCGGAUGAAGGGAGCUUGCUCCUGGAUUCAGCGGCGGACGGGUGAGUAAUGCCUAGGAAUCUGCCUGGUAGUGGGGGAUAACGUCCGGAAACGGGCGCUAAUACCGCAUACGUCCUGAGGGAGAAAGUGGGGGAUCUUCGGACCUCACGCUGUCAGAUGAGCCUAGGUCGGAUUAGCUAGUUGGUGGGGUAAAGGCCUACCAAGGCGACGAUCCGUAACUGGUCUGAGAGGAUGAUCAGUCACACUGGAACUGAGACACGGUCCAGACCCCUACGGGAGGCAGCAGUGGGGAAUAUUGGACAAUGGGCGAAAGCCUGAUCCAGCCAUGCCGCGUGUGUGAAGAAGGUCUUCGGAUUGUAAAGCACUUUAAGUUGGGAGGAAGGGCAGUAAGUUAAUACCUUGCUGUUUUGACGUUACCAACAGAAUAAGCACCGGCUAACUUCGUG